UUGCUAUUAAAUAUUUGACACAGCAUAGGUUUCUGACACAGAAUGAAUGUGGUCUAAGAACUUAAAAAAUUUUAAUAUACCUAUUAUGGUCCAAUAUCCAAAAUCUAAAUACAUACACGGUUAGAUUCAGCAUAUCAAAGAACCCCAAGAAUUCAAUUUUUGUUAAAAUCAAACUAAGUUUAAUUUUGGACCCUUUGAACCUUAAUGUAGACCAAUUUGAAAACGGGACCAAAACUUAAGAAUCUAAAUACACGGUUAGAUUCAGCAUAUCAAAGAACCCCAAUAUUUCAAUUUUUGAUGAAAUCAAACCAUAUCAUUAUUAUUUGCUUUUAUAUAUAUAUA